UACGUAGGGGGCUAGCGUUGUCCGGAAUCAUUGGGCGUAAAGCGCGUGUAGGCGGUCCGGUAAGUCCGCUGUGAAAGUCGGGGGGCUCAACCCUCGGAUGCCGGUGGAUACUGUCGGGCUUGAGUACGGAAGAGGCGAGUGGAAUUCCUGGUGUAGCGGUGAAAAUGCGCAGAUAUCGGGAGGAACACCAAUUGCGAAGGCAGCUCGCUGGGACGUUACUGACGCUGAGACGCGAAAGCGUGGGGGAGCAAACAGG
rnacentral:rRNA from 1 species